rnacentral:lncRNA from 1 species
CAAAGACAAAGCUCCAAUUCAGAUUUUUGAAGAAUAACGACAUGAAAUCCACGAAUCGAGCAAUCUAAAUAUACUAAACAACACGAUAAACACAUGCCGACUAUAUAGCUACUUAGGAGGUAAACCGACGAUUAACUCACCUCGAAACGCUAAACCAACACUGGCGCGACGUCAAAACGGCAGAAUCACACGCUCGCUUGGUCUCCCAACGCAGCGACCAUAAUGCUUGUG